UACGUAGGGUGCAAGCGUUGUCCGGAAUUAUUGGGCGUAAAGAGCUCGUAGGCGGCUUGUCGCGUCGGCUGUGAAAACCUGGGGCUCAACCCCGGGCCUGCAGUGGGUACGGGCAGACUAGAGUGCGGUAGGGGAGACUGGAAUUCCUGGUGUAGCGGUGAAAUGCGCAGAUAUCAGGAGGAACACCGGUGGCGAAGGCGGGUCUCUGGGCCGUAACUGACGCUGAGGAGCGAAAGCGUGGGGAGCGAACAGG
rnacentral:rRNA from 1 species